AACGAACGCUGGCGGCAGGCCUAACACAUGCAAGUCGAGCGCCCCGCAAGGGGAGCGGCGGACGGGUGAGUAACACGUGGGAAUUUUCCUCAAGGUACGGAACAACUCAGGGAAACUUGGGCUAAUACCGUAUGAUGCAGAGAUGCCAAAGAUUUAUCGCCUUGGGAUAAGCCCGCGUCAGAUUAGGUAGUUGGUGAGGUAACGGCUCACCAAGCCUGUGAUCUGUAGCUGGUCUGAGAGGACGAUCAGCCACAUUGGGACUGAGACACGGCCCAAACUCCUACGGGAGGCAGCAGUGGGGAAUCUUGCGCAAUGGGCGAAAGCCUGACGCAGCCAUGCCGCGUGAAUGAUGAAGGUCUUAGGAUUGUAAAGCUCUUUCGCCCGUGACGAUGAUGACGGUAACGGGAGAAGAAGCCCCGGCUAACUUCGUGCCAGCAGCCGCGGUAAGAC
rnacentral:rRNA from 1 species